AUCAUGGCUCAGAACGAACGCUGGCGGCAGGCCUAACACAUGCAAGUCGAGCGAACCCUUCGGGGUUAGCGGCGGACGGGUUAGUAACGCGUGGGAAUAUACCCUUUGGUACGGAAUAGCCUCGGGAAACUGAGAGUAAUACCGUAUGUGCCCUUCGGGGGAAAGAUUUAUCGCCAAAGGAUUAGCCCGCGUUGGAUUAGAUAGUUGGUGGGGUAAUGGCCUACCAAGUCUACGAUCCAUAGCUGGUUUGAGAGGAUGAUCAGCAACACUGGGACUGAGACACGGCCCAGACUCCUACGGGAGGCAGCAGUGGGGAAUCUUAGACAAUGGGCGCAAGCCUGAUCUAGCCAUGCCGCGUGGACGAUGAAGGCCUUAGGGUUGUAAAGUCCUUUCAGAUGGGAAGAUAAUGACGGUACCAUCAGAAGAAGCCCCGGCUAACUCCGUG
rnacentral:rRNA from 1 species